rnacentral:rRNA from 1 species
GAUCAUGGCUCAGGACGAACGCUGGCGGCGCGCCUAACACAUGCAAGUCGAACGAGAGAGGAAGAGCUUGCUUUUCCGAUCGAGUGGCGAACGGGUGAGUAACGCGUGAGGAACCUGCCUCAAAGAGGGGGACAACAGUUGGAAACGACUGCUAAUACCGCAUAAGCCCACGGCUCGGCAUCGAGCAGAGGGAAAAGGAGCAAUCCGCUUUGAGAUGGCCUCGCGUCCGAUUAGCUUAGG